rnacentral:rRNA from 1 species
ACCGGCCACACUGGGACUGAGACACGGCCCAGACUCCUACGGGAGGCAGCAGUGGGGAAUAUUGCACAAUGGGCGGAAGCCUGAUGCAGCAACGCCGCGUGAGGGAUGACGGCCUUCGGGUUGUAAACCUCUUUUAGCAGGGAAGAAGCGAGAGUGACGGUACCUGCAGAAAAAGCACCGGCUAACUACGUGCCAGCAGCCGCGGUAAUACGUAGGGUGCAAGCGUUAUCCGGAAUUAUUGGGCGUAAAGAGCUCGUAGGCGGUCUGUCGCGUCUGCUGUGAAAUCCCGAGGCUCAACCUCGGGCUUGCAGUGGGUACGGGCAGACUAGAGUGCGGUAGGGGAGAUUGGAAUUCCUGGUGUAGCGGUGGAAUGCGCAGAUAUCAGGAGGAACACCGAUGGCGAAGGCAGAUCUCUGGGCCGUAACUGACGCUGAGGAGCGAAAGGGUGGGGAGCAAACAGGCUUAGAUACCCUGGUAGUCCACCCCGUAAACGUUGGGAACUAGUUGUGGGGUCCUUUCCACGGAUUCCGUGACGCAGCUAACGCAUUAAGUUCCCCGCCUGGGGAGUACGGCCGCAAGGCUAAAACUCAAAGGAAUUGACGGGGACCCGCACAAGCGGCGGAGCAUGCGGAUUAAUUCGAUGCAACGCGAAGAACCUUACCAAGGCUUGACAUACACGAGAACGGGCCAGAAAUGGUCAACUCUUUGGAC